rnacentral:lncRNA from 1 species
CUGGAGAGUGCACGAGGACGGUCAUGGGACAGCGAGACAGCUCUCUCAGGUGUCCGCACAGUCUCUGGCCUCGAAGUCUCCAGUCCUCAGAGUCUUCUGCCAGGUACUAAGAGACAGACUUCUUCCAUGUGUUUAAUGUUGACAGUUGUUCCCACUGCUCUCUGAGACUCGGGGCUCUGACUAUAACUGCAUGUCUACAGCCAGGGCCCAUUGCAUUCUGAAUCAGUGACACACAGAGCUGGUUCUUUGAAAAGAUAAACAAGAUCUGUGAAAGGCCAUGGAAGGCCAUUGGUGAAGGUGCAGCCUCAGUUGCAAUUGACGGCCCAGGACUGAAGGGGUCAUGCAGUGUUUUGGAGAUGCCAGUACCACGAGAUGACCACCAAGAGCAGCAGUAGCAGUGGAGUACAGGCAUCUGGAGCCUAGAGGACAGCACAUGUGCUACAAAGGGCAUGGCUGGAGAAGUGACCCAAGCCCUUGGAGGAGCCCAGAAGAUCGUGAGUUGGAU